rnacentral:lncRNA from 1 species
UUUGCCAAGACAAGUUAACCAAUCUCUCCCAAUAAACGUGUGCAGAAGGAUCCUGUUGCAGCGUCGUUCUUCCUGGCCAGUCGAGCGUGCACAAGACUCAUCCCUUUCAUCCUCCAUGGUCUACAAGAGGAUGUCUCCCCACCAACCCUGCUAGGCCUCCCUACUUCCUGGGGCCUCAAGUAUCUUGAGACUCUUUAUCCAUGGAGACAUCUUACUUAUCCUGGUCUGAAUAGAAGUUCACAUGUGAAUCUACAGAAAAAUUAAUCACAAAAGCAGGGAGUUCGUGGGGACUGUGUACCAAAUCCAGAUGUUUCAUCACUGAACUAUGCUUUCAGCAUGCAAGUACCUAUAUUGAAACAGCAAUUACUGAGCAAAAGAUGAGAUUCAAAUACCUUAAAACAUAGCCCUAUAUUUUCA